GAUGAACACUAGCUAUAGGCUUAACACAUGCAAGUCGAGGGGCAGCAUGGUCAUAUUCUUGCUAAGACAGAUGGCGACCGGCGCACGGCUGCGUAACGCGUACGCAACUUGCCUCACACAGGGGGAUAACCCGUCCAAUGACGGACUCAUACCGCGUACACUCUAUGUCGGGCAUCCAAUGUAGAGGAAAUGAUAUUCGCUGUCACAUACGCCUGCGUCCUAUUAGCUAGUUGGUGAGGUAACGGCUCACCAAAGCGACCAUGGAUAAGGGAACUGAGAGGUUGAACCCCCACACUGGUACUGAGACACGGACCAGACUCCUACGGAAGGCACCAGUGACGAAUAUUGUUCAAUGGGCGCAAGACUGAACCACCCAAGUCGCGUGAAGGAUGACUGUCUUAUGGAUUGUAAACUUCUUUUAUUCGGUAAUAACAAGAGUCACGAGCGGCUCCCUGCGUGUACUGUAUGAAAUAAUCAUUGUAUAACUCCGUGCCAGCAGCCGCGGUAAUACGGAGGAUGCGAGCGCUAUCCGGAUCUAUUGGGUUUACAGGGUGCGUAGCGGCCUGUUAGUCAGCGGUGAAAUCUAGGAGCUUAACUCCUAAAUUGCCAUUGAUACUGGCGGGCUUGAGUGUAGAUGAGGUAGGCGGAAUGCGUGGUGUAGCGGUGGAAUGCAUAGAUAUCACGCAGAACUCCGAUUGCGAAGGCAGCUUACUAAGGUACAACUGACGCUGAAGCACGAAAGCGUGGGUAUCAAACAGGAUUAGAUACCCUGGUAGUCCACGCAGUAAACGAUGAUAACUGGGCGUAUGCGAUAUACAGUAUGCUCCUAAGCGAAAGCGUUAAGUUAUCCACCUGGGGAGUACGCCGGCAACGGUGAAACUCAAAGGAAUUGACGGGGGCCCGCACAAGCGGAGGAACAUGUGGUUUAAUUCGAUGAUACGCGAGGAACCUUACCCGGGAUUGAAAUGUAGAUGACCGCUCCUGAAAGGGAGUUUUCCUUCGGGACAUCUAUGUAGGUGCUGCAUGGUUGUCGUCAGCUCGUGCCGUGAGGUGUCGGCUUAAGUGCCAUAACGAGCGCAACCCCUGUCUACGGUUGCCAUCAGGUAAUGCUGGGAACUCCGUAGAGACUGCCGUCGUAAGGCGUGAGGAAGGUGGGGAUGACGUCAAAUCAGCACGGCCCUUACAUCCGGGGCGACACACGUGUUACAAUGGUAAGGACAAAGGGCAGCUACCUGGCGACAGGAUGCGAAUCUCUAAACCUUAUCACAGUUCGGAUCGGAGUCUGCAACUCGACUCCGUGAAGCUGGAUUCGCUAGUAAUCGCGCAUCAGCCAUGGCGCGGUGAAUACGUUCCCGGGCCU
rnacentral:rRNA from 1 species